GGUCACCAGAGCAGAGAUCUGCCCACCAGGAGGAUGUUGAAGAGCCCAAUGCCCUCAGCUGCUCCUCCAUACCCUUCCCUUCCUUCACCAUCCUCACAGCCCCUCGGGAUGCUCUCAAACAGCUUUAGACCUCUGUCUCUUGCACAGGAAUUACUCCAGAACAGUUUGUUCACACAAACUGUGGGGUUUUAGGGUGACAGAAGCUCCCAGCAGAGGGACCAUUUACUGUCAGAGUUUCUGCCCAGCCUCUACCAGCUGUAGCUUCACCUCGGUGCAAAGUUCACACCUCUGCAACGUUCAUUGUCACCUGCGUAACAAUGAGUCUUUGGGUCACUGGCAGUGUUUUUCUCAGUUCAUCUACAAAUUCAGGAGCUGAAGCCACCCGUUGUUGUGUGGUGAGAGAUGGAAAAGCACAGUGAGGCCUCGUGGAGAGGAGGGAGUGUUUGUAAAGCUUGCUUGGAAAAAUCAUCUUCUGCUGCCUGAUAAAUCCCAUUUUCCAGGCUGGGAUUUUUCCAGAGCAGCUGCACUGGAGUUUCCGACAUGGUGGGAGGUGGCUGGAAAAGGCCAUUUAGGUUUUUCAGAGUUGUCUGGGAAGUUUGGGUACAAAGCCAGCGGAAGGUGAUCUGUGGGAGAUGUCAUUUCAUGGGAAGAUGGAAGAAACAGGAUGGGAUUUAGCAUUGAGAAUGGAUUGUUGAAGUCACAUGGAAGAGGUGUGGGCUGAUCCAGAGGGAAAAGUCAGGUGAAUCAAAGCCAUUUAAAAUCACUUCCAAUAUAUUUAAAUGAAACCAAAGUAGAGCAACGCCACUUUUUAGCCUGGUUGCCGACAGAGGGAUUCCAGAUGAUAUCACUUAUACGAUCUGAACCCACACCUUUACUUCAGGAUGUCAGGGAAGAGAAGGAAGUGUUUGUGUCCUGGUCACUGGAGCUCUGUGUCACGGUGUGUUUCAGGCCGUGUGCCAUGACCUCCUCCACGGCUGCAGGAGGAAAUGCCCAGCGAGGGAAGGCUCUUCCUGCAUAGAAUCGGGUGAUAAAAGCAAAUUGAAACUGGUUGUUGACAGAAAUUACUGACUUGUGGAGUCACAAGUGAAGCUUUACGUGAUGAUUUACAACAAAAUAAGACACCAGCCUGAUACGUGCAAACCACUUCAAAAAACCCCUCGAAGACUGUGGAAAAAGAAACGUCAAAGUGAAAGAAGGGAACUGAGAGCACAAACAGCAAGACAGACCUGAAGCAGGAUCUGGGCUUUCAGAUUCAAGUGCCUGAUCCCAUUUGGCCAUCAGAUCCUGCUGGGAGAGGUUUGCCAGCCUCUGUCAGUAACACUGAGCACAGGGGGGAUUUCAAACCCAGAGAUCCAAGACCUGGGUUCAGUCUCGAGCAGGUGUUGCAGCUCCUCAAAGGCACAAACAUGGCUGUAACAGUCCAGGAUGAAACUGGAGCUUGCCUGGGAGAACAUGUGGAAUUCCUGAACCCCCACUUCUGCAGUGUGGCACCCACAGUUUGUAUCCAGGUGCCUGGAGAGCUCAAAGCUGCAGCAUAAUCCUCUCUUGUGAGCAGCGUCUGCAGCUCAUUUGGCUCCAGGCAGAGCAACUUGGCAAGACUUGUCCAGGUGAUGCACAGGUGAU